UCCGAGUUGACCCCGGCAGUCUUCUACGAGUCCCCGGCAUAAUCCGCUGGCAACAUAGAAUAAGGGUUGCGCUCGUUGCGGGACUUAACCCAACAUCUCACGACACGAGCUGACGACAGCCAUGCAGCACCUGUGUCGGCUCCCCUUACGAGGUCGGGCCCCUUUCGGGCACACCCCCAUCUCUGGAGGCUUCCUGGCAUGUCAAGGGUAGGUAAGGUUUUUCGCGUUGCAUCGAAUUAAUCCACAUAAUCCACCGCUUGUGCGGGUCCCCGUCAAUUCCUUUGAGUUUUAACCUUGCGGCCGUACUCCCCAGGCGGUCAACUUCACGCGUUAGCUUCGUUACCAAGGAAUUGCUUCCCCGACAACCAGUUGACAUAGUUUAGGGCGUGGACUAC
rnacentral:misc_RNA from 1 species